GGUGGCUCAGUGGCAGAGCGCAUGCCUUGCAAGCAUGAGGCCCUGGGUUCGAUUCCUCAGCACCA
rnacentral:tRNA from 1 species